UACGUAGGGUGCAAGCGUUUAAUCGGAAUUACUGGGCGUAAAGCGUGCGCAGGCGGUUGUGCAAGACAGAUGUGAAAUCCCCGGGCUCAACCUGGGAAUGGCAUUUGGGACUGCAAGGCUUGAGUGCGGCAGAGGAGACUGGAAUUCCUGGUGUAGCAGUGAAAUGCGUAGAUAUCAGGAGGAAUACCGAUGGCGAAGGCAGGUCGUCUGGCGUGGA
rnacentral:rRNA from 1 species